UGAAGCACAGGAGGAAAGGAAUACCAACAGAGCCAGGAAUUGGAAGCGAGAGAGCAGGCCCCAAGCCAGCAGGGAACAAAUGAACAAUAGAACAGGGAGGACAAAGGUGAAUGUAUGGUCAUAGUGGAAGAGUAAUAGAAGACGGGAGAAAAGGUCACAGAGCUGAGGGGCACUGGAAAGGGACUGCAAAGAGUGAGACGAGCGGGAGUGGAGAUGAAAAAUAAAGGAAAUACGGAGAGUGUUUUAUUUUCUUCUGACUAUCAGAAGAGGAAAGAUGCAGAAAAAGGGAAGAGAAACAAGAGAGUAAAUAGAAAGGAAGAAUCAAUCUCUGGCUGAGAGGAACUGGAAACAGUCAGAGAAGGUGGAAGAAGGAAAGAGAGAGAAAAUACCCAAGGUGAAAGACAGCUUCUGGAUGCUGGAAAGAAUCAGAGAGACCCGAUCUUUGUGGAACCCCUACAAGUGCUCGUCUAGAGGUGAAUAUGCAGUUUUCCUCAUUACUCUUUGGGUGCAUCCCUCCAGGAAGGACUGGAAACUCUUCAGUGCAUUAUCCUGGACUCCUGUGUCCUCUCUCAGGUCAACCUGUGGGAAAGAAGAAGAUAGAAAAAAGAUUCAGUAGGGUGAAAAAAGGAGUGAUGUGAAGGUGGAACAAGGGAGUAUAUCAGAAGCCAAAAUCCUAAUAGCACAAGGUGAACUGCAGAGAUUCAUAUCCAUAGAAAUACCACUGGUGUCCGAAGUAGGUAAAGAUGAGAUGAGGGAAGUUUCUUCAGCACAUUGUGUAAUGAUAAAUGGCUGCAAU